rnacentral:rRNA from 1 species
GACGAACGCUGGCGGCGUGCUUAACACAUGCAAGUCGAACGGAAAGGCCCUGCUUUUGUGGGGUGCUCGAGUGGCGAACGGGUGAGUAACACGUGAGUAACCUGCCCUUGACUUUUGGAUAACUUCAGGAAACUGGGGCUAAUACCGGAUAGGAGCUCCUGCUGCAUGGUGGGGGUUGGAAAGUUUCGGCGGUUGGGGAUGGACUCUCGGCUUAUCAGCUUGUUGGUGGGGUAGUGGCUUACCAAGGCUUUGACGGGUAGCCGGCCUGAGAGGGUGACCGGCCACAUUGGGACUGAGAUACGGCCCAGACGCCUACGGGAGGCAGCAGUCGGGAAUAUUUCGCAAUGGGCGGAAGCCUGAUGCAGCAACGCCGCGUGCGGGAUAUCGGCCUUCGGGUUGUGAACCGCUUUCGCCUGUGACGAAGCGUGAGUGACGGUAAUGGGUAAAGAAGCACCGGCUAACUACGUG